UACGUAGGGUGCGAGCGUUAAUCGGAAUUACUGGGCGUAAAGGGUGCGCAGGCGGUUCUGCAAGUCAGGCGUGAAAGCCCCGGGCUCAACCCGGGAACUGCGUCCGAGACUGAAAGGCUUGAAUCCGGGAGAGGGAUGUGGAAUUCCAGGUGUAGCGGUGAAGUGCGUAGAUAUCUGGAGGAACAUCGGUGGCGAAGGCGGCAUCCUGGACCGGUAUUGACGCUGAGGCGCGAAAGCCAGGGGAGCAAACGGG
rnacentral:rRNA from 1 species